rnacentral:rRNA from 1 species
AUUGAACGCUGGCGGCAUGCCUUACACAUGCAAGUCGAACGGCAGCACGGAGCUUGCUCUGGUGGCGAGUGGCGAACGGGUGAGUAAUAUAUCGGAACGUACCCAAGAGUGGGGGAUAACGUAGCGAAAGUUACGCUAAUACCGCAUACGAUCUAAGGAUGAAAGCAGGGGACCGCAAGGCCUUGUGCUCCUGGAGCGGCCGAUAUCUGAUUAGCUAGUUGGUGAGGUAAAGGCUCACCAAGGCAUCGAUCAGUAGCUGGUCUGAGAGGACGACCAGCCACACUGGAACUGAGACACGGUCCAGACUCCUACGGGAGGCAGCAGUGGGGAAUUUUGGACAAUGGGGGCAACCCUGAUCCAGCAAUGCCGCGUGAGUGAAGAAGGCCUUCGGGUUGUAAAGCUCUUUUGUCAGGGAAGAAACGGUCGUGGCUAGUAUCCAUGGCUAAUGACGGUACCUGAAGAAUAAGCACCGGCUAACUACGUGCCAGCCGCCGCGGUAA